GUGAGGAGAGGCAGGCGUGUGCUAUGGGAUGUGCACAGUAUUUCUGUAUGUCGCCACCUGUAUCUGCACUAAGCUAAGCGUCAGUUCACACUGACGCCGCACACCUGCUCUGUUACAACACGGGUGUAGCCUCUCCUGGAACAGUGAGAAAGCAGCUCCCAUCCGCAGACAGCUGCUCACCUAAUCGCUCAGUUUCAGCUUCCGGCAGAGCAGCGUCAGCACUGCCGACCUGUAUCUACGGGAAACGACGUAAUUAAGUGGAGCCUGGGGCGUUUGUGUGGCUUCUUUUGCCUCUAGUCUCACAGACCCCACUCCUGCCCAGAGUCACGCAGGUCAGCACCCUGUUCCUCUUCUUCCGUGAGGCGGUUUCAUGCAUCUUCAGCACAGGUUGGCUCUCUGCCUCCUGUGCAGGCAGGAGAAAGGGAUGUGGAAACACAGAGUGCCACUCCCUCCCCACUGGGAGGCCCCAGAAGACACAGCCAGGACUCUGAACCUCUGUUUGUCAUCUGCACGCUGAACCGCUCAGAGCGUUAUCCCAGCAACGGCUUUCAAUGACAAAUGGGAAGAAUGAACGUCACAAAACAGGGGUCAUCUGGGAAAGAAAGGAUCGCCACAAACGGAAGAAAACAACAAGCAGCCAACUGCUAACUCAGCCACAGUGACCGUCCCAAGUCACUUCCCGAGCCUGUGGUCACUCCGCCAUCCCGACCAUGCAGUCCGUGAUGCAGGCGUCAUCAUCUGCUUUCUGCAGAAGAGGAACCCGAGGCCGGAGGUUCUGGGCAGGGUGCUCAGGAUGCUGUGGCCAGCGGUAAGGGGCCAGGGUCUGGAGCUCCACCCACCUGGUGAUUCUGACACCUGCUGUGGAGGGGCCUGAGGGCAGGGGCAGACUCCAUGCACUUCACAGAUUUCAUCAGGAGUGUGAAGAGUUAACCUGGAAAUGAGUUUCAAAUGAACUCCCUGUUGUUUUUCCCAAGUGGUUUUACUAAUGCAUUUAAGAGAAGGCGGAAAGGGCAGGCUCCCAUCCCGAUAAAAGAUAAAUGGCUUUAUCCCAUUUCCUGGCCUAUAAGUGGCAGUGUGCCAAGAAGACCAAACUGCUGACAGCGUCCUGCAGCCACGAAGUUGAACAAACCGCAGCGUUGCUGCAGCCGCGCAGGAAUCGGGGAAAGAGAUUCACAUUAAGGACAACCACGAAUCCAGGAAUAAAGAGCAAACACCCCUUUGAAGAGGGAGACCCAGUGGCCAUUUAUGGAACCAAUAUAAAACUGAUCAGGUAAGUCCCUGAUUUCUCCAUGGCAGGAAAAGGCAAAAUGAGCCAACAGCUGGAGCUCCCUGUGCAGGCAGGAGAAAGGGAUGUGGAAACACCGAGUGCCACUCCCGUGCCAGCCACAGACAGCCCCACUGCAGAUGCCACAGACUGUCAGCUGGGAGGAGGCGCAGACCUCCAUCCAUGUAUGUGGCCAGAAAAGGCCCUCGGCCGGGAAGUCCUCUCAAGGAGGGUCUGAGGAGCACGCACAUCCCUCUCCCCUGCAGGGAAGCGUCAGAGCUGCUGGAGACUGUUUUUAAAAAACAUAUGGUCCUUUCCCCGUGCCAAGACCACAUGCGUUUUACAUGUGUCUCUUAGUCCUGUGUGUGUCCCAUACAACAGGCAAAGUAAAGUUUCAGAGUGCACACUCCAGCUAUUCACAGACACUAGCGAUGCCAAUGCUCCUAUAAAACAAAUACUAGGAGUAGACAGUCAUCAUGACUUUUUUGGGGGUGAAGGGAGGAAAAAAGCACCAUAUUUAUUUGAAAGAUAUGGACAUAGUUCCUUUCCAUUUAGAUAGCAUCUUUGCAAGUACAGUAACGGCUGGCAUGGCUAGACAGAAAUAGGCUCUGUGCACAUUUCCAAGGAUUAUAACGAGGCACAUUCACGCAGAGAAUUAAUUAUGACUGUGAGGAAAAAAGACCACAGCAGUGCUUAGAAGACUGAGGAAUCAAGCAGGUAGGGCAGUGUCUGCCAUGCAACUUACAUUAUAAAAAGUUUUCUUUAAAUCAUAGAAAUUUCAAACGAGUGCAAAAACAUCAGAAACGGUGCAAUGACUGCAACAACGUUGGUGCACGGCCGGCCGCGUUUCACCCGCAUCCCCAGCAACGGCUGCCCACCACCAUCAAUCCAAGGCAAACCCCAGACAGCACAGAACUGUUAACACGUGCAGAGUUCAGUAAACAUUCCUAAAAGGUAAUGACUUUUUAUACACAUAAACACAAUACAAUCAAUUCCACAGCCACAAUACAAUUAAUAAUUAUUCAGAAUUAAAUAUCUAGCCAGUGUUAACGUUUCUCCUGUUAUUUUUCUCUGUGUUUUCUAGACACAUUUUGUUUGAACUAGGAUCAAAAUCUUAUCCAGUCCAUAGCCUGCAAUUGGCUGCUAUUUCCUGAGUCUCUUUUGAUAGACAGGUUUUCUUGCUGAUUCUCUUUUCUUUGUAUUUUUGUUGUUGUUGUUGGAGAAACCAGGUCAUUUGUCAUGUAGAGCUUCACAUGAGGUGGGUUUUGUCGAUUACGCCCCCUUGGAGGUGUUUAUCAUGUGCCUCUGUCCCCGGUAUUUCCUAUAAAUUGACAGUUACAUCUAGGUGCCUGGUCAGAUUCUGGUUCAGCUUUUACUUUUACUUUUUUGGCAAGAGCAGUUCACCAAGGGAGGUGCUAAUGUCCAACUCGCCUUCUGUGAUGCCAGCAGCUUCCUGAUCAGAGGCUGUGGAAUUGACUGUAUUGUGUUGAUGUUUUAUAAAGAGUCAUUCAUUACCUUUUAGUCUUGCACUUGCUGGUAGAACAAGAUGUUGUAGGCUCGUUGGAAACAUUUUUCCCCAGACCCGGUCAUUUAUCCAAAGACCUCCAGAUCUUCUCAGUGGGAAUGACAUGAGGAGACCACAACUGGGCUCUCUGUGUUCAGUUUUUUCCAUGGACAGGUCUAGAAACCAUGUAUUUUACGAUAAAAGACACUGGACUUAUACAGAUGCUUCCAGUUCAACAUCAAGACUAGAAGACUAUUAAAAAAUUGCAAAUAACUCUAUUUCUGCCAGAGUACUUUUGGGACAGAUUCCUAGAAGUGGAAUUGCUGGUCAAAGGGCAAACGUGUCUAUGACCUCGCUAGAUACUGCCAAGUUCACAUGAUGAGGUCAUGCCAUUUGCCGCAGCCAUGCCACGGGAGAGUUCAGCCCUCCCCACUUCUCCAGCUAAACUUCUGAUUAGCAAGAGGCAGUAUGCCAGUGUGCUUUUAAUUCAUAUUUCUCUGUAAGUGUGAUUUAGCAUCUUUUUUCUUUUAAAUUGACAAAAACUGUAUUUAUAGCACACUACAUGAUGGUCUGAAGUAUGUAUGCACAGUGGAAAGGCUAAAUCGAGCUAAUUAGCACAUGUCUUAACUCAUAUGCUUAUUUCUUAGUGGUGGGAACACUUAAAUCUACUCUUAGCAAUUUCAGAAAUUCAUUAUAGUCACCAUACUGUACAAUAAUCCCUGACCAACAUCUUCCCAGCACAUCCCACCCCGCCCCCUGCCCCAGGCGACCGCCACUCUGCUCCUAUGAGUUCCCCUUUCUGCGAGUACACAUGUAAGUGAGAACAUGCAGGAUUUGUCUUUUUGUGCCUGGCUUAUUUCACUUAACAGAAUGUCCUUUGGGUUCAUAUAUGUUGUCACAAAUGAUACGGUUUCAUCCUUUUCCAAGGCUAUACAGCACUCCACUGUGUGUAUAUAGAUGAAGCCACACAGCACUCUGCUGUGCAUAUCGACCAGGUGGCACAGCACCCCCCUGUGCAUGUAGACCAGGCCGUACAGUACUCCGCUGUGCAUGUAGACCAGGCCGUGCAGCACUCCGCUGUGUAUAUAGACCAGGCCGUACAGUACUCCGCUGUGUAUAGAAACCAGGCCGUACUGCACUCCGCUGUAUAUGUAGACCAGGCCGUACUGCACUCCACUGUGUAUGUAGACCAGGCCGUGCAGCACUCCGUUGUGUAUGUAGACCAGGCCGUACUGCACUCCGCUGUGUACGUAGACCAGGCCAUGCAGCACUCCGCUGUGUAUAUAGACCAGGCCAUAGUGCACUCCGCUGUGUAUAUAGAUUAGGCCGUACAGUACUCCACUGUGCAUAUAGACCAGGCCAUACUGCACUCCGCUGUGUAUAUAGAGCAGGCCGUACCGCACUCCGCUGUGCAAACAGACCAGGCUGUACAGCCCUCUGCUGUGGAUACGGACCAUGUUCUGUUUAUCCCCUCAUCUGUGACCGAUCCCAUAUCUUGGCUACUGUGAUGGAUUUCUUUUUCUGUGAACUACUGGUUGAUAUCUCUAGAUUUUUUUUUCUAUAGGGAUAAAAAUUAUGCUAUUCUUUACUUUAGAAACCAUAUAUUAAAUAGCAACCUUUCAUUUUGAUAAUUGCCAAUAUUUUUUCCAGUCUGUCACAGGACUUUUCACUUUGCUUCUUGUUUUCUUCUCAUGCAAAGUUUAAAAUACGUUUAAUGUAAUCAACGCAAUGCUUUCUUGUGUGGUUUUGCUUUAUGUUAAGAUUCCUUUACUAGAUAUAGGAACAUGCACGGAGCAGUUUAUCACAUCAAACGUAUGUAUGUACCCAGUGACCACUGCCCAGGUCAGCUAAAGAACAUUUCUAGUACCCCAGGAGGCUUCCUGGCCCCUUCCCAACCAAUAUUUCCCAAGAGGUAGCAGCCAUUAAUACUAUGACCACUACCAGAGAAGCUAGUUUUGCCUGAUCUUGAGAUUGAUGUGUGAACUGCAGGCAUGUUGUAGUGGUUUAUUUCUUCUCGUGUAGCUUUGUGGGGUAUGAAUAUGAUGCCCUUUAUUUAACCCGUUUUCUCUUAAGGCUCCUAGAGGUUAGGGUGUCCAGCGUGGGGCUCCUGGGCAUCAAGCUGCUGUGAACGUCCACAUACGUACACGUACAGAAGUACUCCUUCCUUUUGGGUGCACAGUUAGGGUGGAAUCGGAGGGCAGGCACAUGCUUAGCUUUAGACCCUGUCCAUGUUUUCCAAAGUGGUCAUAGCAAUAUGCCUUCCCACCAGGAAAUGUGAGCACUGGUAUCCCACUUCUGCACCAACCACUUGGAAUAGCCAGUCUUUAAUUUUAGCCACUCUGGUGGACGAAGAAUGGUACCCUAUUGUGGUUUUAAUGUACAUUUUGCCCUUGAAUCAUGAUGCCAACCACAUUCUCAUAUGCUUAUUGGAUAUGCCUAUUGGAUUACUUUUUACAUUUAAAUCACAGGUCCAUCUGGUACUUAUCCAGGUGAAAGGUGUGAAGAAGACCUGACUUUCAUCUUUUUCCAUGAGGCUAUCCAGUUAUCCCAACACCAUUGAUAACCAAGGUCAUCUUUUCCAGCACGAAAUUUACAUGCUGCCUUGAGCUACAUGGAUCUUCCCCAGGCAGCCUGAUUUGCUUCUGGAUUUUUAUUCUGUUCCAUUCACCUGUCCUUGUUCUUAUGCCAGGAUCCACACCAUUUUCAUUAAAGAGGCUGUAUAGAAAAUUUUAACGUCUGGGCAGCCCAUUCCCCUCUGAUACUCUCCAGGGUUUUCUCAGGUGUUCAUGUUUGUUUCUCUAAGUGGGUUUUAUGAUCAACUUGUCUAGCACCCUGAGAAAGAAAAAGAUGAUGUGUUUAUUGGGGCUCCUUAAGUGUAUGCAUUAAUUCAGGGAGAACUGAUGUCUUUGUCAUGUGGAGCUUCCCUAUCUAAAGCUAUCAUAUACCUUUUCCAUGUGUUCAAGUCUUCUGUGUCUCAGGAGUAUUUUAUAGUUUUCCUCGUAUCAGCAUUUAUUAAACGAGAAUGCUAAAAACAGAGGUACUUUAUUUUUGCUACUAUAAAUAUUAUCUCUCCCAUUAGAUCUUCUCCUUGGUUUUUGUUCCUACCUAUGAUUUCUACAUGUUAAGCAGCAGGGUAUAAAAUUUAUUAAUUCCCUUAUUUUUUUGUAGCAUUUUAUCCAAUGAUUAUUUUGGGUUUUCCAGAAAUGUAACAACUGCAUACGGAGAAAUUGAAAAUAGAGAUAAUGAAAAGGAAAAGGUAAACUCCCGUGUCUGUGCUGUCUCUGUAGCCCAGCUGCGUGUGGGGGCACUCUAACGACGACACAUCGUGGGGGGGUUGUGGGGAGCUUCACUCUGUUCUUGGCUUCAGUGGGAGAGCUUCCAGCAUUUCCUGCUGAGUAGGAUGCUGGCUUUGGGGAUAAUGUGUGUGCGUAUUUUUAGGUCAUGUUACAGAAGCUCUCCCUUCUUAACCAUGUCGUCAAAUUUAACACCACCAGUAACGGGAUAAACCGGUCUCGUAUGCUUCCUGAUAGGACGCUCUGGGAAGGACACAUCAGCAUUUCUGGGCCAAAAAUGCAUCUCCUGGAUUUAGCAAUAAACAUUAGACAAACCCCAAUUUAGGAAUGUUCUACAACAUAACUGGCCUGCCCUCUCCAAAGUGGCGGUGUCAUGAAACAAAGAAAUACUAAGGGGCUGCUCCAGAGUAAAGAAAGAUAAAACACAGGACAACUGAAUGCAGCUCCUGCUCCAAAUUCUCAUGCUCCUGAAUUUUCUUUUGCUUUAAAGGACAUUUAGGGGGACAACUCAUAGACUCUGGAUCUACAUACAAAACAGCAGUGAUUAGAGAAGAGUGUGUUGAAGUUAAUUACCUAUUAGGUUGCUGCAAAGGUAAUUGUGGGUUUUGCCAUUCAAAGUAAUGGCAAAAAACAAACAAUUUGGAGAAUUAUACUCUAGUUUUAUAAGCAAACAAAUAUAUUUGUUAAGAAGUAAACACUGGCCAGGUGCGGUGGCUCACACCUGUAAUCCCAGCACUUUGGGAGGCCGAGGCAGGUAGAUCACCAGGUCAGGAGAUUGAGACCAUCCUGGCUAACACGGUGAAACCCCAUCUCUAUUAAAAAUACAAAAAAAUUAGCCAGGCGUGGUGGCGGGCGCCUGUAGUCCCAGCUACUCGGGAGGCUGAGGCAGGAGAAUGGCGUCAACCCAGGAGGCGGAGCUUGCAGUGAGCCGAGAUCUUGCCACUGUACUCCAGCCUGGGUGACAGAGCAAGACUCCGUCUCAAAAAAAAAAAAAAAAAAAAAAAAGAAGCAAACACUGAAGUUCAUGGAGAUAAAAGGGUAGCCUGUCUGUCACGUACUCUCUGACACCUAGAAAAUAAUAAUGUAUAUUUGUGUAAUAUGCACACAUGAGAGAAGAAAGCAAACAUGGUGAAACAUAAUAUUGAGGAAUCUGAGUGUCUUAUAUACGAGAAUUCUUUGUGCUACCCUUGCCAUUGUUCUGUACAUCUGAAAUUGUUAAAAUAAAGGUUACAGAAAAAAGUAUCCACCAAUUCCUAUGACUGGAUUUCUUUUAACAUAAAGAGGCACCGCAUUUGUCGAGUGCUUUUUCCACAUCUAUGAAACUUACAUGAUUUCUCUCUAUGCAUUAAUGGAUUCUAAUGUUAACCAUCUUUGCAUUCCUUGAAUAAACCCCUAAUUGUCACGA
rnacentral:lncRNA from 10 species